rnacentral:lncRNA from 1 species
GUUCUCAAAUUUAAGUUCAAUCCUUUUUUUAUUCUCAAAAGUCAUUGUCGGAGCUUGGCAGAGAAGUUCUAUAAGGCGGGUUCGCUAUUCAAUCUAUUUUAAACCAUCCAAUUCGGUAAGUUACAUAUUUCAAAUUCCACUAAAAAAGAAGAUUUAGUAUUAAAAACUAUGUGUUUUAGUAUUGUUUGUUGCUUUACAAAGUUAUUAAGUAAAUGUCGGCUCAUUGUUUUAGUCCAUUUCCAUAAAAUAAACUAGUUUUGAUUAACAAUCAAAUUCUAUAUCAUUUCGAUUGAAUGAAUUACUUUUUGUAGUGUGAAUAAACUAGCUAAUUUACAUUAUUACGCUUUAAAUUUGUCUUUUCCAAUAAUGUUUAGAAGAACAUUUUUCAGAUUUUUAGCUUCUAUUAUAGAUCAACAAGCAUAUCAAUAGUUCCAGUAAAUUAUAAAAAGAAAACGUGCUUGUGUUAUGUCCUUACCUUUACCUAUAAAGGUGUUAUUAUGCUUUAUAUAUUCAACUAGUUCCUAAUUGCUGAUUAAGAAAAAAAUAGAACUCUUGGUUCAAAGACUAUAAAACUUAUUUAUACAUAUCACAUUUAGUUAUAUAAUUAAAAUAUUUUCUUGUGCCUAUAUUUUUUUUCUUUUUACAAAAUGUGAGGUAUUGAACAGAAAAAAAAGUAAUAACGAACAGAAUUUGAAAAAAAAAAACUUACAUCUAAAUAUUAUAUAUCUUUUCUCUCUCUAAAAUUAAAUGUAUUUUUUCUCUCUCCAAAUUGAUUUCUCUCUCUAAGUCCUAUAUAAUCUCAAAUAAAUUUAUUAAACUAUCAUAGUUCUCAAAUUUAAGUUCAAUGCUUUCUUUAUUCUCAAAAGUCAUUGUCGGAGCUUGGCAGAGAAGUUCUACAAAGCGGGUUCGCUAUUCAAUCUAUUUUAAACUAUCCAAUUCAGUAAGUUACAUCUUUCAAAUUCCACUAAAAAAGAAGAUUUAGUAUUAAAAACUAUGUGUUUUAGUAUUGUUUGUUGCUUUACAAAGUUAUUAAGUAAAUGUCGGCUCAUUGUUUUAGUCCAUUUCCAUAAAAGAAACUAGUUUUGAUUUACAAUCAAAUUCUAUAUCAUUUCCAUCGAAUGAAUUACUUUUUGUAGUGUGAAUAAACUAGCUAAUUUUCAUUAUUACGCUUUAAAUUUGUCUUUUCCAAUAAUGUUUAGAAGAACAUUUUUCAGAUUUUUAGCUUCUGUUAUAGAUCAACAAGCAUAUCAAUAGUUCUAGUAAAUUAUAAAAAGAAAAAUGUGCUUCUGUUAUGUCCUUACCUUUACCUAUAAAGGUGUUAUUAUGCUUUAUAUAUUCAACUAGUUCCUAAUUGCUGAUUUAGAAAAAAAUAAAACUCUUGGUUCAAAGACUAUAAAACUUAUUUAUACAUAUCACAUUUAGUUAUAUAAUUAAAAUAUUUUCUUGUGCCUAUAUUUUUUUUUUCUUUUUACAAAAUGUGAGGUAUUGAACAGAAAAAAAAGUAAUAACGAAUAAAAUUUGAAAAAAAAACUUACAUCGUUUUUUGUGUGUCCCCAAAGCAAGAAUUUAUUGGGAGCGAACCAAACGGGUUAAACAAGGAUUUAUGUGCAAACCGGGUUUACGGGAGCACAAAUUCGUAGAAAUAAAACCGUGAAUGCGGGUAAUGAAUUAUUGAAUACGCAAGCCGGUAAUGGAAGCGUAAACAUAAAAGAUAAUUUGAUGAAACCGGGAUUGGGUAAAAAGGGAUGUGCAUAAUCCCAAGGUAUAUUUUAUAAGUGAUUAAGUUUAGAUACUUAGAUCACUAACGGGUCAAAAUACUAAAAGCGCAAACCCAGUAAUGGGAGCGCGAGAUCAGUAAGAUAAGAAACCCAGGAAUGGGUCGACAUAUUGUGAAUCAAAUCCCGUCCGUAUGGAUUUGGGUAAAAUGAACUAAAGGAUAAAAUGGGUAAAGGUGUUGAAUAAAUAUAUACGCAUGAUCAUGUGCCCAAAGAUGCAAAUUUGUUAUAAAUUUUGUUACGAAAAUGUUAAUAGUUUGAAAACAGAAAGAUAUAAGUUUUACUAGUGAUUUUAGAGUGUCCCCUAUCGCAUUUUAAUGUUUAAAAAGAUGCAAGAUGGAACAAACGGGUCAAAACUGCAACACAACAAAGUUUUGCUGCAGAUUGGCUUUUUGGCAGGCCGCGACAGAUAGACCAUGAUCUUACGCGGGGCGCGAUAAAGCUACCGUAAGCUACGGUGACUACCGUAGCUUACGGUGCUGAGUGGGAUUGUUACGCUAGCUUUCUACUACCUUACGGCAACCCCAAAAAUUUCCAGAGGCUACCGUAGCUUACGGUGGCUACCGUAAGCUACGGUAGUGCCCAACCAUUUUUGACAAGUUUAGCAUAUUAUAGCUAUUUCAAUCCGUUUCCGUCCAUAGUUUUAAUUCCUCCAAAUUCCUAAGGAUCCUAAUACAAUUUAUUUGUUAAAAAUUUCAGCUUUUUAGGAUGUUUGCAAGUAUAUGGAUGAUGAUCAAGCUAUUGCUACAGAACCGAACACAAUGAAGAUCUUGUUCCGCAACUUUUGAUAUUAUAUGUAGUUAGUAAAACUUGUGUAGUCAAGGGAAUACUUGUAUAUCCUAACGGUGUUUUUGGAUGCUUGUUAACUAGUAACUACUAUAUCAAAUGAUUAUAUUAAUCUGA